UUGAUCAAGUGCACACAUGCCUUCACCUC
rnacentral:piRNA from 1 species